rnacentral:rRNA from 1 species
GCCCACUGAUAGAUAUUAAAGGGCCGCAGUAUUUUGACUGUGCGAAGGUAGCAUAAUCAGUAGUCUUUUAAUUGAAGGCUUGUAUGAAUGGUUGAAUGAGAUAUAUACUGUCUUUUUUAAAUUUUUAUAGAAUUUUAUUUUUUAAUUAAAAAGUUAAAAUAUAAUUAAAAGACGAGAAGACCCUAUAGAUCUUUAUUUUUUUUAAUUAUAAGUUAAAAAGAAUAAUUAAAUUUAUAGUUUUAUAAAAAAUUUUACUGGGGUGGUAUUAAAAUUUAAUUAACUUUUAUUAUUUGUUUACAUUAAUAUAUGUAUAUUUGAUCCAAUUUUAUUGAUUAAAAAAUUAAGUUACCUUAGGGAUAACAGCGUAAUUUUUUUUUAGAGUUCUUAUCGACAAAAAAGAUUGCGACCUCGAUGUUGGAUUAAGAAUUAUUUUUAGGUGUAGAAGUUUAAAGUUUAGGUCUGUUCGACCUUUGAAUUCUUACAUGAUCUGAGUUCAAACCGGCGUAAGCCAGGUUGGUUUCUAUCUUUAAUAAAUUAUUAUAUUAUAGUACGAAAGGACCUAAUAUAAAAAAUAUAAAUUUUAAAUUUAUGAAUUAUAUUAAUAUUUAAUAAAACUAUUUUGGCAGAUUAGUGCAGUAAAUUUAGAAUUUAUUUAUAUAAUUUAAUUAAUUAUAAAUAGUAUUGUUUUUUAUAGAUUAUUUAUUAUCAUUAAUUGGAAGUUUAUUAUUAGUAGUUUGUGUAAUAGUAGGAGUAGCUUUUUUGACUUUAUUAGAACGUAAGGUUUUAGGAUAUAUUCAAAUUCGU